UACGGAGGGUGCAAGCGUUAUCCGGAUUCACUGGGUUUAAAGGGUGCGUAGGAGGGCAGGUAAGUCAGUGGUGAAAUCUCCGAGCUUAACUCGGAAACUGCCGUUGAUACUAUCUGUCUUGAAUACCGUGGAGGUGAGCGGAAUAUGUCAUGUAGCGGUGGAAUGCUUAGAUAUGACAUAGAACACCAAUUGCGAAGGCAGCUCACUACACGAGCAUUGACUCUGAGGCACGAAAGCGUGGGGAUCAAACAGG
rnacentral:rRNA from 1 species